UACAGAGGGGGCAAGCGUUAUUCGGAAUUAUUGGGCGUAAAGGGCGCGUAGGCGGCUUUGCAAGUGACGGGUGAAAUCCCUCGGCUUAACCGAGGAACUGCCUGUCAAACUGCAUGGCUUGAGACCGGGAGAGGUGAGUGGAAUUCCCAGUGUAGCGGUGAAAUGCGUAGAUAUCAGGAGGAACACCAAUUGCGAAGGCAGCUCGCUGGGACGUUACUGACGCUGAGACGCGAAAGCGUGGGGAGCAAACAGG
rnacentral:rRNA from 1 species